GAUGAAGAACGUAGCGAAAUGCGAUACUUGGUGUGAAUUGCAGAAUCCCGUGAACCAUCGAGUCUUUGAACGCAAGUUGCGCCCGAAGCCAUUAGGCCGAGGGCACGCCUGCCUGGGCGUCACACGUCGUUGCCCCCCCAUCUACUCCUUCGGGAUUGCGGGGGGCGGAUGAUGGCCUCCCGUGCGCCUCGCCGCGCGGUUGGCAUAAAUGCCAAGUCCUCGGCGACGCACGCCACGACAAUCGGUGGUUGCGAAACCUCGGUUGCCCGUCGUGUGCGGUCGUCGCGCAUCGAGGGCUCGAAAAAAUUGCCGGGUUCCGGCUCGGCUUUCGACGCGACCCCAGGUCAGGCGGGGUUACCCGCUGAAUUUAAGCAUAUCAAUAAGCGGAGGA
rnacentral:misc_RNA from 1 species